rnacentral:piRNA from 1 species
UGCUGACAACUGCCUCCGAGAACUCAGC